UGCCCCUCUAGCUCGCUGCACCGUUAGAUCUUCACUUGCAGUUAAAUUGUUUUUCAUCAUUUUUCUUGCCCAAUAACGAGUGAGCUCAUCUCAAGCUUGCAUUGGCUGUCUCAGCAGCGGGUCAUCUUCGGGCGGGUGAACCUUUCCUCGCGCGCCGCGUCGUUUCGUGGCUGGGGCGAGAAGCCCAUUGGACAUAACCGCACCAAACCCUAGCCCCCCGUCCACAGCCACCCGCUCCUUCUCACAGCCGCCGCACCAUUCCUCCCUUCCGCCCCCUCCUCCUUCCCAGAUCCCCACCACGGCGCCGACCUGCAGGCAAAGGGCGACAGCGGUGGCGCUCAGUUAGAUCUGUAGGAGAGAGAAGAUGAGAGGGAGAGAGAGGAGGGAGAAAGAGAGGAAGAGGAGAGGAGGCACGGUGUCGGAUGGGAGAGUGGCCAACUCGGCUCGCGUCGGCUGGGGUCGCACCCCUCCCCGAAGGGCGGCGAUGAUGGAGGGAGCCGCAGGCGCCAUCCAGGCUCCCGACCGACGGACUCGCUGGGUCGCCGCCCCUCCCGUGCGGCAGGGACAUCCACGGCGGCGCGGGCUGGGGACCGAGCGGCGGGGCCCGUGAUGCAUUCCGGUCGAGGGAUUGGUCGGGCCGGCGCGGGAUCUUAGCCGCCGUCGAUGGAUUACUCGCUGCUUGGCUACCUGUUGCUUUGGAUCCGGCGAGCUCUCAUUGCCGGAUCACUGGCCAAUCGUCGGGUUGGCGACCACGUCAGUUCCGCACCGCUGCCAGCGAGCGCUGUUCUGUUGCCUUGGAUUCGGGUGUGGCGUUGGCUGGGAACCGUAUGGUGUUUGUCUGAUGUGUCGUCCGCAUCGUGGGGGUUUGGUCGGUUGACUCCAGGUAUGAGCAGCUCCUGAGCUUGAUGGCUGGAUGUGUGCACACAUGUAACGGGGUAUCAUGGUCAUGUUGCUUGGUGUGCAGAGGCAACCUCAUUUUUGGACCAAAAAGAGGGGCGAUGACGAUGAUGACUGGCUGAAACAAUCAUGUCUUGAGCAAUCAAGACAGCCUUGGCUUGUGGGACUAAACAGAGCUGAAAAAGUCGGUGUCACCGUUGGAGUUGCCCUUAGAGCCUACCCUUACCUCUGUUGUAGCCUGCUCAAUUUUAUUGCCGAUGUUGGAUGAUUUGUGCCUUGGACGGUCGCUCAGAUGAGUGAUACUCUGGGACCAGGUCUAUUUCGCCACACACGAACCCAUUGACCUCCCAUGUUCCUGGGGAGCGUUGCAUGUCGGAAAAGAUAGGGUUUGUGUCACACAAAGUUCUGCAUUGACACUUAGAAAGCAAGUGAAAAGCGAUAUGCCAUUUUUUGAGGCUAUCUACAAUCCCGUUAAAAGGCAACUGCUAAACACUGAAGGGCAAUGGAACUCAAUUUGUCGGUAUCGCAGUUUGAUAAAUUGUAUUAGUGGUAUUUCUUGGAUUUAUAUAAGAAAAACAAAAAUAGCUACCUUUGUGUGAAUUACAGUGCUAAUGAUGAGUUCUUUGUAUCAGACAUGAAUGGACAGAUUCAAGAUUUCCUUUCACCUAGGCUUGGUUAGUUGGCCACUUUAUUUCCCACUUUCUGUCAUGUAAUCUUGAUGUCGAUACUUCGACAUUACAUACAUAAUAUGAUGCAUAAUGUAGAAGUUACUAAUGGUCAAAAAAAAUCUGGAUACGACACCUGCUUACUCCUAUUCACAUUAUGUAGAAGUUGCAUAAGGCAGAACAAGACUAAGAACAUUUGUCAGUUUUUUCAUGUGCAGUUUCAGCAGCGGGCAAUGCUCAAGACAGAGUUGGGCGCACAUCAUAUAUAUACAUAUGUUGUCGUGUCUUAAUAAAUGGAGAUGAGCAGAAGUAGAGAUGAGAUAUCUAUCCGACUGUCAUCCUUCCAAGACUUGGGUUUGUCAUCUCUGUCAGCGUCCGCCUCCGCUUCCUUCGUUGGUUGUCGUUUCUUUGUACACUACUGUAGUUUAGAGAUCAUAAUAUAUUUUCCAUGGAUACAAUUGAAUACGACACCCAAUUUGCUAUAUAAUUGUUCAGCUCUCUAUCAUAGCGAUUCAUACAAAAUAUCAUGCAUAGUGGUCCCAGCUUAAGUAGAAUAUAACCAUUGGAUUGUUCAAACUUUGCUCGUGUUUCGCAGGGCACCAUAACUCUAAUCCGACAUGAGUAGUGCAACCACGACAGUGAGCAGUGGAACCGCAAGAUAGAGAUAGAUACAAGUAGAAUAUAACUGAUCAUAUUUCUAAAAUGAUCACACUACUUAUGGUGCCGGAAGAGAAGGCAUCAGUGAUAGUGGGCUUGGUGAUGAGGGCAUCAAUACGAAGAGAUUAAUUCACAACUUUGUUCUUGAUAGGUUGUACAAAUAUACAAGGUACUAUUGUUUCCUUUUAUGUUUAAAUAGCUUUGUGAGUACAAUUAUAUGAAAAUUCUGCGAUUCAUGGUGCGGAAGCGGGCAUCUUUGUUUUCCUGACCAAAAAUACUUGGUUUCAUGCCUCCAUGGUAUAAUUUAGAGGCACAGUCCAAUGAGAGAUUCCUACUUAGCUAGCUAAUAUAUAACAUUUGACGGUACUGUCUUGUGUUGUAAAUACAAAAUAUGCUACAUGAGCAUUACUUUUAUUUUGAAUUUAAUUUUGUGUUUGAGCCUCUUUUACAUAUUAAGUGUAAUAUCACAGACUUUCUUCUUUCAGGGUUAACUGGCCAUGCAAAAACUGUUGUGAGGCAUUAAAUGGUACUCCCUCUGUAAACUAAUAUAAGAGCGUUUAGAUCACUAUUUUAGUAUUCUAAACACUCUUAUAUUAGUUUACGGAGGUAGUACUAUAUGUUUUUGGCUUGCUUUUGUUCACUUUUGUCCUUUCCAAAGUGGAAUAAGAAAAGAAAGUCAAAACAGGCUCAACCAUGACUACUCUGCUCUUGUGAUCACCAAUUUCUGCUCCAUUGCGCACAAGAAAGUAGUGACUAUUUAUUUGCUUAAACAAUAUGUCCAGCGCUGCCUGUCCUGCUAAUAUUCCUUUAUGGAUGUAUCGCACAAAUUUCAGUUAUUGGAUAUGAAAUGUAGGUUCUCUACUCAGAGCUUGGUCCAAUGGUCAAUGCAGCUCUAUGUUGUGCUAUCUUGCUAUUGGGCUCUUUUUCGUUACUUAAAAUGGUCAGAUAUCUCUGAUGUUAAAUUCGUGGUUGAUUGCUUAUAUCCAAAAUAACUAUGUUAGUACACUGAAGCCAAUUUCUACAUUGUUAGUGAAGUUGGCCAAAUUUAGUCCAACAUUUCCAGUAUGUAUCUUCUUCUGCUAUCAAUGUUAAUUCUGCCAUAAGCAUAUUACUCUCCUAGCAUUUUUUUUCUUUCGAUGAAAAACAGACACUUGUUCAGUUUUUUACUACAUAGAAAAAGAUAAGUUCAAUUUGGUUUCUAAUGUUCAUGUCGGCCUUUGCCUAAGCAAAAAAAGGUAACCAGUUUAUAUUGUAAUGUGGUUUUUAGUUUCUCUUUGAUUCAACCUUUUUUGUGUGUGCUGUCUAACUGUUAGAUUGUGUGGAACAUCUCGGAACAACCUUUCGUGUCCCUGAUAUUAUCUCGUUUCCUGAACAAUAUUAUUUUAUUUGCUUUAUCUGCCACCAUGAAUUCCUAGACUUCCUUUCUCUCCUUCCAAUUGACAUUCUUAGAUGUGAUUCUAUUAGAAAUUUUGUGCCAUGACAAAAGUAAUGGUUGAUUGCUCUGGUUUAGCCUUUAUGUCAGUUGUUGCUGAGGGUCCAGUUUCUCAUUUUUCAGAAUUUGUAGUAGCAGGGAUGUGUAUAAUAUGGAUAACUGAACUGGUGUUUAGGGGUUUCAAUGCAGGACUGCUACUUGCUCGAUUAGUUAGAUCAACUGGUGUUUGGAGAUUUCAGUGCGAGUGAUGUUCCAGUUUCGAUUGCAUGGGCUUCGAGAUGCACCAUGAGGAUUGAAACAAGUCUUAUAUAGGGCUGCUAAAUUAUUAUGCUUUUGGUCUUUUCUGAAUUUAGUUGGCAUAAAUACUUCCACAAUACCUCUUAUAAUAUGGAAGUCUGUUGGUAACAACACUGAUUUUGCCAGUUUGUGGAACAUGCUUCAUUUUUGUAGGUAAAAGAAGGAAGAGAACAUUGGAGAAAAAGGCAGCAUGACGGAUUCUCUAAGCUUUCUCAAAUGUUUGAACAAUUAGAAGAUAGUUACAAUCAUUUUUCUCUUGCCUUAUUACAUCUUGAUGUUAAUAGGCUUUGGAAGGUACUAUGCGCCCCGUUCAAGGUUUACAGAAUUUGCACCAUCCUAUUACAGUUUGUUCUGAUGACAUAAUUGACCAGUUCUUCCUUGAGUAAAUUAAUAUUGUGGCAGCUACUCCUUUGUGCAUUGUUACAUAGAGUUAUAUAAUUGUGAAGGUGUGUACACAUCAACA